AUUGAACGCUGGCGGCAGGCUUAACACAUGCAAGUCGAGCGGAGAUGAGGUGCUUGCACCUUAUCUUAGCGGCGGACGGGUGAGUAAUGCUUAGGAAUCUGCCUAUUAGUGGGGGACAACAUUCCGAAAGGAAUGCUAAUACCGCAUACGUCCUACGGGAGAAAGCAGGGGAUCUUCGGACCUUGCGCUAAUAGAUGAGCCUAAGUCGGAUUAGCUAGUUGGUGGGGUAAAGGCCUACCAAGGCGACGAUCUGUAGCGGGUCUGAGAGGAUGAUCCGCCCCCCUGGGACUGAGACACGGCCCAGACUCCUACGGGAGGCAGCAGUGGGGAAUAUUGGACAAUGGGGGGAACCCUGAUCCAGCCAUGCCGCGUGUGUGAAGAAGGCCUUAUGGUUGUAAAGCACUUUAAGCGAGGAGGAGGCUACUGAGACUAAUACUCUUGGAUAGUGGACGUUACCCGCAGAAUAAGCACCGGCUAACUCUGUGCCAGCCGCCGCAGUAAUAC
rnacentral:rRNA from 1 species